rnacentral:misc_RNA from 1 species
AGGAUGGAAAUUGAAAACAAGGCGGAAAAAUUGAGUAAAGAAGCAAGAGGAGGGAGGGAAAGGUGAGAUGUUGAAAUCGAAAGGAAAAAGAAAGGAGGGGAAAAAUUGUGUUUUGUUUAUGCUAGUGUUCACAAGGAUGGCCACCACCACCACCACCACCAUGGACAUAAUUGAUAAGGAAGCCAUUUUCUUUCCCUUGAAGGAGGGAGAGUUGCAGAGAAGUGGGGUUUGGCUAUGUUCAAAUGGUGAUUUGGAAAA